GAAUACAAACUCUAUGUGUGCGCUCUCCCGCUGCCCGGUCAGCCGGGCGUUGGAGCGGUGCCAUGUCUUAACAAUAAACGACUCUCGGCAACGGAUAUCUCGGCUCUCGCAUCGAUGAAGAACGUAGCGAAAUGCGAUACUUGGUGUGAAUUGCAGAAUCCCGUGAACCAUCGAGUUUUUGAACGCAAGUUGCGCCCGAAGCUUCGGCUGAGGGCACGUCUGCCUGGGCGUCACGCAUCGCGUCUCCCCCAAACCCACCCCGAGUGGAGGGGAAGGAGGAUGGUCUCCCGUGGCUCACCGGUCGCGGCUGGCCUAAAAUUGGAGCCCUCGGCAUCGGGAUGCCGCGGCGAUAGGUGGUGAACAAGGCCUCGGCCGAGCAAGCAACCCGUCGCGUGUCGCGGUGCCAAGGAGAGCUCGAAGGACCCUUUGACGUUGCCUUGUUGCAACCAAACCGUUGCG
rnacentral:rRNA from 1 species